UAUUGCACAAUGGGGGAAACCCUGAUGCAGCGACGCCGCGUGAAGGAAGAAGUAUUUCGGUAUGUAAACUUCUAUCAGCAGGGAAGAAAAUGACGGUACCUGACUAAGCAGCCCCGGCUAACUACGUGCCAGCAGCCGCGGUAAUACGUAGGGGGCAAGCGUUAUCCGGAUUUACUGGGUGGAAGGGGAGCGUAGGCGGUGCAGCAAGUCAGAAGUGAAAGCCCGGGGCUCAACUCCGGGACUGCUUUUGAAACUGUUGGACUAGAUUGCAGGAGAGGUAAGUGGAAUUCCUAGUGUAGCGGUGAAAUGCGUAGAUAUUAGGAGGAACACCAGUGGCGAAGGCGGCUUACUGGACUGUAAAUGACGCUGAGGCUCGAAAGCGUGGGGAGCAAACAGGA
rnacentral:rRNA from 1 species